UUGGAUUGAGGGAUGAAUGCGUCCCUCAAAUUCAAACAUCCUUCACUUUGUCAGCAUUUUCGAUCCGUAAUAUGCUGGCCAUAAUUGGAUGGAGAUUU